AUUGAACGCUGGCGGCAGGCCUAACACAUGCAAGUCGAGCGGAUGAAGGGAGCUUGCUCCUGGAUUCAGCGGCGGACGGGUGAGUAAUGCCUAGGAAUCUGCCUAGUAGUGGGGGAUAACGUCCUUAAACGGGCGCUAAUACCUCAUACGUCCUGAGGUAGAAAGUGGGGGAUCUUCGGACCUCACGCUAUCAGAUUAGCCUAUGUCGGAUUAGCUAGUUGGUGGGGUAAAGGCCUACCAAGGCGACGAUCCGUAACUGGUCUGAGAGGAUGAUCAGUCACACUGGAACUGAGACACGGUCCAGACUCCUACGGGAGGCAGCAGUGGGGAAUCUUGCACAAAGGGCGAAAGCCUGAUCCAGCCAUGCCGCGUGUGUGAAGAAGGUCUUCGGAUUGUAAAGCACUUUAAGUUGGGAGGAAGGGAAGUAAGUUAAUACCUUGCUGUUUUGACGGUACCAACAGAAUAAGCACCGGCUAACUACGUG
rnacentral:rRNA from 1 species